GUGGGGAAUCUUGCACAAUGGGCGAAAGCCUGAUGCAGCAAUGCCGCGUGAGGGAAGACGGCCUUCGGGUUGUAAACCUCUUUCAGUUGGGAUGAAGGUUCGGCGUUGAAUAGACGUCCGGACUGACCGUACCUUCAGAAGAAGCCCCGGCUAACUACGUGCCAGCAGCCGCGGUAAUACGUAGGGGGCAAGCGUUGUCCGGAAUCAUUGGGCGUAAAGCGCGUGUAGGCGGUUCUGUAAGUCUGCUGUGAAAGUCGAAGGCUCAACCUUCGAAAGCCGGUGGAUACUGUGGAACUAGAGUGCGGAAGAGGCAAGUGGAAUUCCUGGUGUAGCGGUGAAAUGCGCAGAUAUCAGGAGGAACACCAACGGCGAAGGCAGCUUGCUGGGACGUUACUGACGCUGAGACGCGAAAGCGUGGGGAGCAAACAGGAUUAGAAACCCUUGUAGUCC
rnacentral:rRNA from 1 species